GCCACAGCUCAGUGGUAGAGCACCUGCUCUUCAUGCAAAAGGUCCCACAUUCAAUCCCUGGUAUAUCCA